rnacentral:rRNA from 1 species
UACGUAGGGUGCGAGCGUUGUCCGGAAUUAUUGGGCGUAAAGAGCUCGUAGGCGGUGUGUCACGUCGGCCGUGAAAACCUGCAGCUUAACUGUGGGCGUGCGGUCGAUACGGGCAUCACUGGAGUUCGGCAGGGGAGACUGGAAUUCCUAGUGUAGCGGUGAAAUGCGCAGAUAUCAGGAGGAACACCGGUGGCGAAGGCGGGUCUCUGGGCCGAUACUGACGCUGAGGAGCGAAAGCGUGGGGAGCAAACAGG